GUGUCAGCAGCCGCGGUAAUACGUAGGGUGCGAGCGUUAUCCGGAAUCAUUGGGCGUAAAGAGCUCGUAGGCGGUUCAGCAAGUCGGCUGUGAAAGUCCGAGGCUCAACCUCGGAAUUGCAGUCGAUACUGCUGUGACUCGAGUCCGGUAGAGGAGAAUGGAAUUCCCGGUGUAGCGGUGAAAUGCGCAGAUAUCGGGAGGAACACCAGUAGCGAAGGCGGUUCUCUGGGCCGGCACUGACGCUGAGGAGCGAAAGCGUGGGGAGCAAACAGGAUUAGAAACCCGCGUAGUCC
rnacentral:rRNA from 1 species